UGGGGAAUAUUGGACAAUGGGGGCAACCCUGAUCCAGCGAUGCCGCGUGUGUGAAGAAGGCCUGCGGGUUGUAAAGCACUUUAGUUGGGGAGGAAAGGUAUGUACUGCAUAAGUGCAUGCUGUGACGUUACCCAAAGAAUAAGCACCGGCAAACUCUGUGCCAGCAGCCGCGGUAAUACAGAGGGUGCAAGCGUUAAUCGGACUUACUGGGCGUAAAGGGCGCGUAGGCGGCAAUUCAAGUCAUCUGUGAAAUCUCCGGGCUUAACUCGGAACGGUCAGAUGAUACUGCUUUGCUAGAGUGCAGAAGGGGCAAUCGGAAUUCUUGGUGUAGCGGUGAAAUGCGUAGAUAUCAAGAGGAACACCUGAGGUGAAGACGGGUUGCUGGGCUGACACUGACGCUGAGGCGCGAAAGCCAGGGGAGCAAACGGGAUUAGAUACCCCCGUAGUCCCUGAGCGGGCUGGCAAGGCGCAU
rnacentral:rRNA from 1 species